rnacentral:rRNA from 1 species
UACGAGCGGCCCAAACGUUAUUCGGAUUUACUGGGCUUAAAGAGUUCGUAGGCGGCGCAGAAAGUGGGGUGUGAAAGCCCUCGGCUCAACCGAGGAAUUGCGCUCCAAACUACUGUGCUCGAGGGACCUAGAGGUGAGCAGAACUGAUGGUGGAGCGGUGAAAUGCGUUGAUAUCAUCAGGAACACCGGAGGCGAAGGCGGCUCACUGGGGCUUAUCUGACGCUGAGGAACGAAAGCCAGGGGAGCGAACGGG